rnacentral:lncRNA from 1 species
GUUCAUGCAAACUCUACUAAGCUCUCAACAUCCUAAGGACAUUUGCCAGAGAAGGAGCCCAUCCUCGAGAAGAGUUCAAGGACAAAGACUAUGUUGAUAACAGAGAGCCUACCCUGAGAGCAGACUGGAAGAAUGGUAAUGUCGCAAGACUGAAUUUUGGGAACCAAACAGCAUCCUGACCCUUAGGAACUAGCGUGUUCCUACCUGAUAUUCGACUCUUGCCCUCAGAUGAAU